rnacentral:lncRNA from 1 species
UUCUCCACAUGGACUAGGCGACGGCAACUAUGCUCGGCUAAAGCUAGGUGACACGAUAUUUGGUGACGAAAACAGAAAAUAAAACCUAAACUAAACAAGGUAGUUCCCGAAGAUCGUCGCCAAAGAGAAUGCAAAAUAAGCAAAGGUACAUUCAGAUUAUACUCUGUCUUUUUGGUAGUUUUAUUAGGCUUGAGGAAUUAAAACACUAACACAAACAAACAUCAAUGACAAAAGGGAAUCAACAAGACAUGAACACAUAUAACCAUCAAACAUAUAACAGUGGGAUGAAUCACGGCUAUAUGGCUGAAUAUAAAUGUUUCACAACAACAACUCGCACACAAAUUUUGCAUCACAAUUACUUGAGUAAACACAUAAACUACAAACUGGAACAAGUUCACAGGGUUAGGUACACAUAUAUGGUGAUGGAUAGACCACAGAUACACAGCAAGAACAAUUCAACUAGUGAGAACACACAUAUGUGAUACAAUAUUUAUAAGUACCAAACUGAACCAUUCACGGAUUGCAAGCAUUCAUAGAAUCUGAACAUUACAGGGCAUUACACAUCUCCUAUUACAGAAAUUCAGAGAAUAUAGAGAGGGAAAAAGAGGGAUAGCAGCAGUUUAUGGUUAAGAUUAGGAGCAGUAGGGGCGUUUGAGAGAAGGUGCAGCAAGAAAGAGGUGCAACCGCAGUUUUGGGGAGAGGUAGUAGCAGCCAGCAGUUGGUUCAGAGAAGGAGCAGCAGCUUGGGAUUUUGAGAAGAGCAGCAGGGAAUAGGAGCAACAGCAAGGAGAAGUGCAGAGGAAAAGCAACAGCAAGGGGGUGCGAGGAGAAGAAGGAGCAGCGGCAGACAGCGCAAGAAGAAGAAGCAGCAAGCAGCGGAAGGAGGGAGAAGUAGUAGCAGAGAUUGAGAGAGCAAGCAGCAGCAGGGGCGUGGGAAGAAGAAACAGCAGCAGGCAGAGAGCAGAAGAAGGAAGAGGGAGUUGGCGAUGGUGGUGGCACACUGGUGGUCUGCGAGAUGGGUCCGAGGCGAAUGAGUUGGGUGGCGCACUCACGCGGGUGACCAGACACUCGCGCCGGAGUGUCUGAUGCAUCGCGUGAGGGAGCGGCUGGUGUGGUGGAUGUAGGCACUGGAGGUAGGAGGAGUAGUGGUGGCGCUGGGUGAUGGAUGGAGGCGGUGCUGGUUGGCGCACCACCACGCCGGCCUGGCCGCGGCGGCGGCCGGAGGUGGAAGAAUAAGUGGUGAGGGAGAGGAGGAGAGAUGCCAGGCCCGAAAGGGGAUCGAGGCUGUGCUAGGGAUUUUGAUCCCUCACGAUCUGAUCUGCCACUUUGCAAUUUUGCCCUCCUACUUCUCUCCUUUGGCAGAUCAUGCUCAGCUCCUUGACUCCAUCACUUGAUCAUUUGUAGUGGAAGAGUUUGCGCCUUGUCGCACUUUUCUGCAAAAUAAACAAAGUGACUAGUCAACAAUCCUUUUAUAUGAUUUUCAUGCAAUAUUCGAUAACUCUUAGCAAGAAAUGAUAGACAUAUCUCAAUAAAUGGUGAAUUAGUGUGCCCAAAUUGCAUAUAAGAAAUGCGCUUAUCAAGUUCCCCCACACUUAAAUCUUUACUUGUCCUCAAGUAAAGGCACAUGCAAAAGCGAGAUAGUGAAUAGUGAGCUGAUUAGAGAAUGUCCAGUGAAGUAGAUCUCCAAAUAAUGCAUGCUUUGGACUUAGCUAGUGAAAACCAAUGGUUAAGAGUGCUACCAAUGAUCAAUUGUAAGUACAACGGGAUAUUUCGCCCGAACUGCGAGUGUCGUGUUCCCCACAGGGACUAGGCGACGGCGAUUAUGCUCGGCUAAAGCUAGGUAAACACGAUUCGGGUGAUGAAAGCAAGAAAGUAAAACUAAACUAAACAGGGCUGUCGCCAAAGAAAAUGCAGAUAAGCAAAGGUAGAUUCAGAUUUUAUUCAAUGUAUUUUUUUGGUGUUUUUGUUUUAGUUGAGAAAUAAAAUGCUAACACAAGCAUACAUCAACGGCUAGGGAGUUGAAAAGACAUGAACAUAUAUAUGACACAGAGACACCACUGAAUCACAGAAGUUUCAGAAAUCGUAAACUGAAUAUUGAACAGUUUUACACUUCUCAAGAACACUGAAAGCACAUUCAACACAAAGAUCACAGGUGAUCUGAAUUAUUAAAGUAAACUAACUGACAUACAGACACAAAUAAUACUAAUUCAGAACAGAAUAUAGUUGAUCUAGCAUCCACUAAUAACUCACAGAAAUUACACACACACACAUAGAAAGAGAGAGAUGAAGAGAAAGAAAGAGAGAAGCAGUAGUAGGGAAUUCAGAGGAGGAGGAGCAGCAAGGGGCGCAAGAAGAAGCAGCAGCAGGUCACGUUGAGGAAGAAGCAGCAGGGGGCAGAGGGAAGGAGAGAGGUGGAGGAGCAGCAGCGAGACAAGGGGAAAAGGAGCAGCAGUAGAUCACGUUGAGGAAGCAGCAGCAGGUUCUUGGGGAAGAAGAAGAAGACAGCAGCGAGGCAGGGGUUAGAGGAAGAAGAGCAGCAGCAGAGGUAAGGGAAGAAGCAGCAGCCGCAGGCAAGGAGAGCCGCGCGGGGCAUCAGACGCCGCCGGCAUCUGUCUGGUGGAUUGCGUGAGGUGUGGGGAGGCGCUGUGGUGCUGGUGGCGGUGGCGCUGGUGACGGCGGUGUGGAUGGAUGAUGGUGAAUUUGGGGAAGGAGAAGAAGAUGGUGGCGCUGGUGGAUGGCGCACCACCACGCCGGCCUGGCCGUGGUGGCGGCCGGAGGUGGAGAAGGAGGCGGGGAGGAGAAGGUUGAGAUGCCAGGCCCGAGGGGAAAAUGGAGGCUGCGCUAGGGAUUUGAUCCCCCUCCUCUGAUCUGCCACUUUUGCUCUUUUGCCCUUCCACUUCUCUUCUUUCUUCACAAGAUGAUCCCUCCAACUUUAGCUUGGCCCCUCUGGUUACUUCUUUUCUUUACGGUCGGGUCCAUUCUUCCUCCUCUUCUUCGUUCUCUUAGCCACUUAGUCCGGAUCUUGAAGAUUUAUAGUGCCUUUGUGCACAUUUCUGCAAAAUAGACCAAAGACUAGUAAAUGAUACUUUAUAUGAUUUUCAUGCAAAUAUUCAAUAUUUCAUAGCAAGAAUUGAUGGUCAUAUCUCAAUAAAUAAUAUAUUUCUAUGCCAAAAUUGUAUAUAUGAAAUGUGCUUAUCAGUGUGAGGAGAAUACGGUGACCCUAGUGGCUUCUUGGGGAGCAUUGUGCCUCCACACCGCUCCAACGGAGACGUACUUCCCCUCAAAAGGAAAGAACUUCGGUAACACAUCCUCGUCUUCACCGGCUCCACUCUUGGUUAUCUCCUGCCUUUACUUGUGCAAGCUUAUUUGUGUUAUAUCCCUUGCUUUGUUGUGUGCUUGUUGUUGUUGCAUUAUAUAAGUUGCUCACCUAGUUGCAUAUCUAGACAACCUACUUUGAUGCAAAGUUUAAAUUGGUAAAGAAAAGCUAAAAAUUGUUAGUUGCCUAUUCACCCCCCCUCUAGUCAACUAUAUCGAUCCUUUCAAUUGGUAUCAGAGCCUCGUCUCUUUAUUAAGGACUUUGUCGUCCGAAGAGUAUGGUUGACACCAUAGACGGUGUGGAGGAGCACUCCGGUGUGAAUCUGGUCUCGUCUACGGCCGAUGGGGGAACCGCGGUCUCUCGUGAGGAAUUCAAUGUGGCUUUGGACACAUUGGAAACCUCCAUGACGACCGAGGUUGAAAGCAUGUUUAAUAAAUUCUUAGAAGGGCUUAAACUAUCUACCGCACCGAUGAAAGUGGGUGAUCCCACUAACAAGGUGACGGAUGCUAACUCUGACAAGGGGGAAGCUACUAGUGAAAAGGCUCCUUCUUCUAGUGGUAAAAAUGGCAACGACAUCUUUGACCAUGUGGAACCUCCACUUACUUAUGGUGGACUGAUUCCUUCCACUCAUUUGAAUCAUGCCGGUCCUCCCCCUAAGAUUGUGAAAAAUGAGGACUUUGAUUCUUGGGUUUAUCGCUUUAAGUGUCAAUUGAACCAUGUUAACACUAACCUUUGGAGAAUCAUUGAAGAAGGUUUUUGUCCGCAUGACCGAAGCAACUUCACCCCUAGAGAAGCCGCGGAUAAUCAAUUCAAUGAGAAUGCUCUCUUCAUCAUCCAAGAUGCAAUUCCACCCGAAGAUCUUGCUCAUCUCCGACCCUUCACCGUGGCCAAGGAUGCAUGGCGGCAUGUUGUUUCCCUCUACAGGGGAAGCGCAAGCAUUCAACACUCCAACUAUGAAGUAGUGCAAGAUGAAGCCGAUGAGUUUGCAAUGAAAGAGGAUGAAGAACCUCGUGAGCUUUAUCGGAGAUUAACUACUCUCGUGGUCUCACUCCGAGAUCAUGGGAGCAAGGAUACGGAUGACAAUUGGAUCAAGCGCAAAUUCCUCAAGGCCAUGAUGCCUUACCACAAGGCCAUGUCCUCCGUCAUUCGUCAAAGGCCGGACUUCCACACCUUGUCCUCAAGUGAAGUGUUGGAUGAGUUUGUGUCUAUGAGCAUCUUGGACAAGACCGCCGACAAUGCGGUGUAACGCUCUCAAAGAGCAAAGAAGCCCAACCUUGCCUUGAAGGCCAAGGUUAGUGUGGAAGAAGAGGAAGAAGAGGAGAGCAAUCCCGAAGAUACAAAGUAUGCUUAUCAUGAACACAUGGCUCUUGCUUCAAGGCAAUUUUGGAGCAAGAAGAACACAAGGCCCAACUUCAACAAGAAUAACUCAAGUGGCACGAAGGUCAAGCAACGAGUGAGGACUUGCUAUAAUUGUGGCAAUGUGAGCCACUUUGUUGCGGAAUGUCCUUAUGAGAAGAGGGAAGACAAUGAUGGCAAGCUCAUCCUAAAGGACAAGGCCAAGUCUUUCCCCAACAAGAGCAACUUCACCAAGAAGACUCCUCCCAAGGGGUUGGUGGCACAAGAAGAGUACCAUGAGUAUGAUGAUGAUGAAGAAGACGGUGAGUCAGUUGCCACGGCCUCCAUUGCCAUUGCGACAACUCCACGGGUGUCUCUCUUCGACUCACCCAAUGAGAACAUCACCGCCAAGUGCCUCAUGGCUAAAGCCACCAACAAGGUAACUCCCAACAUCAAAACUACCAUCAUUAAUAAUCCUUCUUUGACGGAUUGCAUUGAUGAACAUGAGGGGUCCAAUGUGGAGGAAAAUGAAUUUGAGUCUUUUAUGAGUAAACUCAAGGGUAAAUCCAAGAAGCACUUCGUUGCUCUCUUGGAACAACUUGGUGAAGCCAAUGACAUGAUCGAGACUCACGAAGAUACCAUCUCUAAGAUGGAGGGGCAUAGUCGUGACUAUGCUGAUGAGAUUUCGGAUCUUUCCAAUGCUCUUGAGGAAGAGCAAGGUCUUCGUUUGACUCUUGAGGAGUCAUACAACGAUGACCACGCUAAAUUAAAGAAAGAUCUUGAUCAUGCUCUUGUUGUAUAUCGUGUGCUAAACUCCGAGAAGGCUAAGCUUGGGAUUGAUCUUGCUAGACUCAAGGAGGAUUUUGAUAUACUUGACAAGGCUCACAAGGCCUUGAAAGGUGUUCAUGCUAACCUCAAGGAGUCUCAUGAUCAACUGCAAGUGAAGCUAACCAAGGAGAAAGCCACUUUUCCUCACAUGGUUUUAAUUGAUAAUGCAAAUGCUACUAACCCAUGUUGUGAGCAUGUGCAUCUUGUUGAGGAGAAUGCAAAGUUGAAGAAGCAACUUGAGAAAGGCCUUGUGUCGUGCAUACAAGGUGAGAAGAACCUCAACGACCUUUUGAGCAAUCAAAAGGAAGUUGUGGCCAAGGAAGGAAUUGGGUUCACACCCAAGUGCAAGAACAAGAAGAAGGAUGACAAGGCCAAACGACCUCCCCCUCUCAAGCAAACUUUUGUGAAGGAGGGAGAGGGUGCUUCUAAGAAAAAGAAGAAGAACAAUGUGAAGGGUAGUGAUGCUAAGAAGGGCACUGCUACCCCUCCCAACAAAGCCGGCGACUUUAACCCUUCUUAUGUGUUAUGUCGUGCUAGUGAUGGACAUGUUUAUGCCAAAUUUGUUGGUUCUUCUUAUGAGUACAUUGAAUGGUCUAUUUGGGUUCCUAAGACCCUUGUUACUAACAUCAAAGGACCCAUUACAAAAUGGGUACCUAAAACCAAGCAUUGAUUUUCUUGUAGGUGUUUGCUUCCAGUGGGGGAUCAUGGUUGCUCGAUAGUGGAGCCACUAAUCAUAUGACCGGAAGCAAGGACUUAGUGGUGGACGUUCACAAGAUUCCCUCUAUGCCCACCAAUGUCGAGUGGGGUGAUGCCUCGUCCUCUAAGGUAUUGGGACUUGGCAAGGUUGUCAUUUCUCAUGAUUUCACGAUCGAGAAGGUCAUGCUUGUUGAGUCCCUUGCAUACAAUUUACUUUCCGUUCGUCAACUUGCACUCAUGGGGUUUGCCACUUUCUUUGAUGUUGAUACCGUGGCCCUCUUGUGGAGCAAAACUCUUAAAGAGUCUUUGUUGGGCAUGUCGAGAACGGUCUCUAUGUGAUUAACUUUUCGGAGCGACCCACUAAGACCGCGACAUGCCUAAUGGCUAAAGUUGACGUGGGAUGGCUUUGGCAUCGCCGUUUAGCCCAUGUCAAUAUGAGAUCUUUGCAAAGUCUUCUCAAGGGGGACCAUGUCCGUGGACUAAAAAAUGUUAGUUUUGCUAAAGAUCGUGCUUGCAGUGCUUGUAUCGAAGGAAAGCUACAUGAGAAGGCUCACCCUCCCACGACUAUCAUUUACUCGAAGUGGCCUUUGGAGCUCCUCCACAUGGAUCUCUUUGGGCCUCCAUCCUUUGAUAGUCUUGGGGGUAGAAAGUAUUGCUUGGUGAUUGUGGAUGAUUAUUCAAGAUACACUUGGGUAUACUUCUUCAAGAGGAAGAGCGAGACCCAACAAACUGUCAUUGACUUUGCAAAUGAAUCCCAACGUCAACACAAUGCAAAGAUCUUGACUAUAAGAAGUGACAACGGCACCGAGUUCAAGAACUACACCUUGGAUGAGUUUCUUAGUGAUGAGGGGAUCAAGCAUCAAUAUUCCGCACCAUACACCCCUCAACAAAAUGGUGUAGCGGAGAGGAAGAACCGGACGUUGAUGGAUGCGGCAAGGACCAUGAUGGCGGAGUUCAAGUCUCCAUACAACUUUUGGGCUGAAGCCAUCAACACCGCGUGUCAUGCAUCAAAUCGGCUCUAUCUCCGCAAAGGCUUGAACAAGACUCCAUAUGAGAUACUCACCGGUAACAAGCCCAACCUCAAGUACUUUCGGGUGUUCGGGUGUAAGUGUUUCAUUCUCAAGAAAGGUGUUCGGUUGUCUAAAUUUGAGGCUAGAGCUUAUGAGGGCAUAUUUGUUGGUUAUGCUACAAACUCUCAUGCUUACCGUGUCCUCAAUAAGUCCACGAGACUUAUUGAGGAGACGUGUAACAUGGAGUUUGAUGAGAAUAACGGCUCCCAAGUGGAGCAAAGUGGCACUUGUGAUGUAGGUGAUGAAAUUCCUCCUCAAGCCAUAAGAAGAAUGGGAGUUGGUUUUAUCCUACCCAUUGAGGAACCCCUUGUGGCCGAAGAAGAAGGACAAUGCUCCACUCAAGUGGAGCCAUCACCAACCCAAGGCCCACACGCUUUCGAAGAACAAAGUGAAGGCCCUCAACCUCAUGAACAAGACCAAGGGCAAGAUCAAUCUCAAGACGGUGUUGAAUCACCAAGUGAUACCCAAGGUCAAGUUCUCUCCUCCGAGCAAGUUCAAGAUCAAGAGCAACCUCAAGAUCAAGAACAAGCUCAAGACGGCGCUCAAGAUGAUCAAGUGACCGCUCCUCAACUCACCCCGAGGAGGAAUUGGAGCGUCGUGCCGCCCAGAUUGCAUCCAAGCUCUCUACCAAGGGUCAUCUCAUGAAGAAUGUGCUUGGAAGCAUUCAAAAGGGGGUAAGCACUCGUAGACAAUUGGCAAACUAUUGUGAACAUCACGUGUUUGUCUCUUGUGUUGAACCCCAAAAGGUCUAUGAGGUGCUCGAAGAUCCGGAUUGGCUCAAUGCCAUGCAUGAAGAACUCAACAACUUCGAGUACAACAAGGUGUGGAGAUUGGUGCCAAGGCCAACGGGGAACCACAAUGUCAUUGGAACCAAGUGGAUAUUCAAGAACAAGCAAGAUGCUCAUGGGACCAUCGUUCGCAACAAGGCAAGAUUGGUAGCACAAGGCUACUCCCAAGUCGAGGGUAUCGAGUACGAUGAAACCUUUGCUCCCGUUGCUCGCCUUGAAUCCAUUUGUUUGUUGAUUGCUUAUGCUUCUCAUCAUAACUUUAAGUUGCAACAAAUGGAUGUGAAGAGUGCAUUUCUUAAUGGUCCUAUUAAUGAGUUGGUGUAUGUCAAACAACCCCCCGGGUUCGAGGAUCCCUACUUCCCCGAUCAUGUGUAUCAACUCGAUAAGGCACUCUAUGGCCUUAAACAAGCCCCACGUGCGUGGUAUGACCGCCUUACUGAGUUGUUGCAAGAUCGUGGAUUUGAAGUUGGGAAAAUCGACCCCACACUUUUUACUAAGAAGGUCAAAGGGGAUUUGUUUGUGUGCCAACUAUAUGUUGAUGAUAUUAUCUUUGGUUCCCCUAACAAAGCUUUCAAUGAGGAAUUUGCCGCUCUCAUGACCUCAAAGUUCAAGAUGUCAUCGACGGGAGAGUUGAAGUUAUUUCUCGGGUUCGAAGUCAAGCAAAGAAGAGAAGGAACCUUCAUCAACCAAGCCAAAUAUACUCAAGACAUGCUCAAGAGAUUCAAGCUAAGUGAUGUCAAGCCGACCUCCACUCCAAUGCCCGUCAAAUGCCAACUUGACAUAGAUCCCAAUGGUAAAGCAGUGGAUCAAAAGGUAUAUCGCUCCAUGAUUGGCUCCUUGUUUUACCUUUGUGCAUCUAGACCGGAUAUCAUGUUGAGUGUGGGAAUUUGUGCACGGUUUCAAGCCGCACCUAAGGAACGCCACUUUGUGGCGGUCAAGCGAAUAUUUCGAUAUUUGGCUCAUACCCCAAACUUUGGCUUAUGGUAUCUGAGGGAGUCCUGGAUUAGGGGGUCCUCGAAUAGCCGGACUAUAUACCUUGGCCGGACUGUUGGACUAUGAAGAUACAAGAUUGAAGACUUCGUCCCGUGUCUGGGUGGGACUCUCCUUUGUGUGGAAGGCAAGCUUGUCAAUUCGGAUAUGUAGAUCUCCUCCCUUGUAACCGACUCUGUGUAACCCUAGCCCCCUCCGGUGUCUAUAUAAACCGGAGGGUUUAGUCUGUAGGACAACGACAAUCAUAAUCAUAGGCUAGCUUCUAGGGUUUAGCCUCUACGAUCUCGUGGUAGAUCAACUCUUGUAAUACUCAUAUCAUCAAGAUCAAUCAAGCAGGAAGUAGGGUAUUACCUCCAUCGAGAGAGCCCAAACCUGGGAAAACAUUGUGUCCCCCGCCUCCUGUUCCCAUUAGCCUUAGACACACAGUUCGGGACCCCCUACCCGAGAUCCGCCGGUUUUGACACCGACAUUGGUGCUUUCAUUGAGAGUUCCACUGUGCCGUCACGAUAAAGUCUUGAUGGCUCCUUCGAUCAUCGCCAACGAUGCGAUCCAGGGUGAGGUUUUUCUCCCCGGACAGAUCUUUGUAUUCGACGGCUUCGUACUGCGGGCCAACUCGCUUGGCCAUCUCGAGCAGAUCAAGAGCUACGCCCCUGGCCAUCAGGUCAGGUUUGGAAGUUUAAACUAUACUGCCGACAUCCGCGAAGAAUUGAUCUUCGACGGAUUCGAGCCCAUGCCAGGUGAGCCGCACAGUCACUACGAGCAUGACUUAGCCCUGCCAUCGGACGGUGUUCGGGAGAUCACACCUGCGGCUACUCCGGCCCUCAAUCCGGAGCAGAUCAUGCCAUCCGAGGACGGGUGGAUGGACCCCGCCACGGAGGUCGCACACUCAGCGGCGAUAGAGCCGAAUACUGACUUCACCUCCUAUGAGACCUGUGUUGCCGGACCCUUGGAUUCGUCCCCGGCCACGGGCUCCGAACCGCCUGCGUCCGUGCCUAUCGAAUCUGAUUGGGCACCGAUCAUGGAGUUUUCCUCCGCGGAUAUCUUUCAGCACUCGCCCCUGGGCAACAUGCUAAAUUCAUUAAGGUCUCUCUCCUUGUCAGGAGGCCCUUGGCCGAACUAUGUCCGGCUUGAGUGGGAAGCGGACGACGAAGAAAUUCAUUCCCCACCCACCACCCACUUAAUAGCCACUGUCGACGACUUAACCGACAUGCUCGAUUUCGGCUCCGAAGACAUCAACAGUAUGGACGACGAUGCAGGAGAAGAACAAGAACCACAGCCCACAGGGCGCUGGACUGCCACCUCAUCAUAUGAUAUAUACAUGGUGGACACCCCCAAAGAAAGCGAUGGCAAUAAGGCAACGGAGGAUAAUCCCCCCGAGAAGCAAUCUAAGCACCGGCGUCAUUGGCGCCGCUCUAAGCCCCGCCAUAGCAAAAGCAGCGAUACCGGCACAAGAGACAAUAACGCUGCGGAUAGUGCCAAAGACGAAGACAAUCCCCCCCAGCCAGGUUUCGAGCGGGAGGAUGGGCAAGCUAGCCCUAAGGAACAGGCAGCAGACGGAGAAUCAGAGGAUGACAAUUACAUGCCCCUCUCCGAAGACGAGGUGAGCCUCGGCGACGAAGAAUUUAUCGUGCAUGAGGAUCCCAUCGAACAGGAGCGCUUCAAGCGCCGGCUUAUAGCCACAGCAAAAAGCCUGAAGAAAAAGCAACAACAGCUUCAAGCUGACCAAGAUCUGCUAGCAGAUAGAUGGACCGAGGUCCUGGCGGCCGAGGAAUACAAACUCGAGCGCCCAACCAAAAGUUACCCAAAGAGCAGGUUGCUACCCCAACUCGAGGAGGAAGCAUUACCAGCGUAUGAUGCGGCUGACCGGCCACCUCGUGGCCGAGACAAAGCGGCAUAUCAGCCCGAAGUCCAGCCCGCACCCCAUCGCUAGUCAAACAAAAACACCAAGGCCCGGGGCAACACGCAGGACCUGCGAGACGUAUUAGAAAACAAAGCAGGACAUACAAGAUCGAUCUACGGAUCACGGGGGCGCGCCCCAACGCGUGACGACGACCAUCAUGCCGGAUAUACUAAAAGCAAAUCUGGCCGGGCCAAAUACAGCAGACAAGACUCGUAUGAACCGCGACAUGACAUAGCCCGGCACAGAGGCGCCACACACCCCCUAUGCUUCACUGACGAAGUAAUGGAUCAUGAAUUCCCAGAAGGAUUUAAACCCGUGAACAUUGAAUCAUAUGAUGGUACAACAGACCCCGCGGUAUGGAUUGAAGAUUUCCUCCUCCACAUCCACAUGGCCCGCGGUGAUGAUCUACAUGCCAUCAAGUACCUCCCUCUAAAACUCAAAGGGCCGGCUCAGCAUUGGCAGAAUAGCCUGCCGGCAAACUCCAUUGGAAGUUGGGAGAAUUUGGAAGACGCAUUCCUUGACAACUUCCAGGGCACUUAUGUGCGACCACCGGAUGCUGAUGACUUGAGCCACAUAACCCAACAGCCAGGAAAUUCUGGACUCGAUUCCUAACUAAAAAGAACCAAAUUGUCGACUGUCCGGAUGCCGAGGCCUUGGCGGCAUUUAAGCAUAAGAUCCGAGACGAGUGGCUCGCCCGACACCUCGGCCAAGAGAAGCCGAAGUCCAUGGCAGCCCUCACGACACUCAUGACCCGCUUUUGUGCGGGCGAGGACAGCUGGCUGACUCGCAGCAACAACACAUCAAGAAAUCCUGGCAAUUCAGAUGCCAAAGAUAGCAACGGCAGGCCACGUCGCAACAGAAACAAGCGCCGCAACAACGGCGACAACGCCGAAGACACGACAGUCAAUGCCGGAUUCAGUGGCUCUAAAUCCGGUCAGCGGAAAAAGCUGUUCAAAAGAAGCAAUCCGGGCCCGUCCAGUUUGGACCGCAUACUCGAUCGCUCGUGUCAAAUUCACGGCACCCUCGAUAAACCAGCCAACCACACCAACAGAGAAUGCUGGGUGUUCAAACAGGCCGGCAAGUUGAAUGCCGAAAACAAGGAAAGGGGGCUGCAUAGCGACGACGAGGAGGAGCCUCGGCCGCCGAACACAGGAGGACAGAAGAAAUUUCCUCCCCAAGUGAAAACGGUGAACAUGAUAUACGCAACCCUUAUUCCCAAGCGGGAACGGAAGCGUGCACUAAGGGACGUCUAUGCGAUGGAGCCAGUCGCCCCAAAGUUCAACCCAUGGUCUUCUUGUCCGAUCACUUUCGAUCGCAGAGACCACCCCACCAGUAUCCGUCAUGGCGGUUCUGCCGCGUUGGUUCUUGACCCCAUCAUUGACGGAUUUCACCUCACUCGAGUCCUUAUGGACGGUGGUAGCAGCCUGAACCUGCUCUACCAGGAUACAGUGCGCAAAAUGGGUAUCGACCCCUCAAGGAUCAAACCCACAAAAACCACCUUUAAAGGUGUCAUACUAGGUGUAGAGGCCUGUUGCUCGGGCUCAAUCACACUGGAAGUGGUCUUCGGAUCUCCGGACAACUUCCGAAGCAAGGAAUUAAUCUUCGACAUCGUCCCCUUCCACAGUGGCUAUCACGCACUGCUCGGACGAACCGCAUUCGCCAGAUUCAAUGCAGUACCGCAUUAUGCAUACCUCAAGCUCAAAAUGCCAGGACCUCGCGGGGUUAUAACAGUUAAUGGAAACACAGAACGCUCGCUCCGUACGGAGGAGCACACUGCGGCCCUCGCAGCAAAAGUGCAAAGCAGCCAUCUGAGACAAACCGCCAAUUCGGCGAUAAAGCCCCCGGACACCUUCAAGCGAGUCCGGAGUACCCUGCAACAGGAUCGCCCGGCACGUUCAGAGCUCGCCUAGCAAUUCGGCCUCCGUCCUAGUCCCAGUCAAGCGGCAAAAUUUGUGCCGCGCGUACAUAAUUACGCACUUAAGAUACCAUGGGCAUAGGCGGAGGCACGGCUAUGGCACGGCCCACGAUGCGGCUCAACCGCCUUAGGGCCCGUAUAUCUUUAUCAUUUUCUCUCUUUCAGGACCCUAUUCUCUGGAAGCUCUCUCUCCGAUCGCCUGAUUAUCGGACCCGUCACGGGAAGGAAACACCAAGGAAGCAAGAAGCUCUGACGUACAAGGGAAUCCCCAGGUGGUCUCCGAUAACGAUCGUUAUACCUGUUUUACAUACCCAUACGCAGCUUGCCCUUGGAUAGGACAUGUCAAAUAGUCCUAUUUUUACUUAUUGCACUACUUGUAUGCAUACGCUUUGACGUAUCAUUUAAAUAACAAUGUACAUCGUUAGCUUAUUAUUACAUUUCUUCAUCUUUUUCCUUGUCUGCUUAUUUACGACAAAUUGCACCCGUACAUUCUGGUACGUCCAGUGCGCCAGGGGCUUUAGUAUACCCCAUAACACGGCAUGAAAAGCCCAAACACUUUCGACAGUGUGGCACCCCGAACUUAUAGCAUUAUAUGCAUCAGCUCCGAAUCAUGUCUUGGGUCAAUAGUUGGGUUUGCCCGGCUCCCAUGUUUUGGUACCAUACGUUCCGCUAUAUCAGCUAAGGUAGCACUGGGAGAACUACUGCGAUUGUGUCCCGGUUCUUCCGGACGAGCACCUCAGUAGAGAAAGCCGAAAACUAACUGUCAUGAUGCGGCGAGAUGGUCGCUGUUUGAGAGGUCUCAAAUCCUUAAAGAUUUUUUCCGCUUAGGGCGAGGAGUCGGCCUUGUCUGAUUUAGGCGUACAUAGCGCCCCAAGUUCGGCCUUCCGAAUACUAGGGGCUUCGCCAAAAUUUAAAAUUGUAGACUUCUAUGGCUAAGUGAGAGUGAUAAAGCUUUAUAGUCUGAUUGCCUGGUUCGUUGUGCUGAACACCUCCUUCGAAGGACCCAAAACUAGGAUAAAGAGUGAUCAGGUUUAUCCCGAAUACCUCAGUACUAGUUACAUGGGGACAGAAGCCGACGACUAGCCAACUUUCAGAUUUUAUAAACGGCCACACAAAAGGUAAUAUUUUAAAUCAACAAGCGUUAUAUAGCGCACAUGAACUCGUUUUCAUAUUACAGGAUCACAUGAGUACAUUCAUUCAAAUAUUACAUCCUUAGCACAUUCCUCCGCCACAAGGCGAGCACCCUUCAGGACACUGUCAUAAUACUUUUUGGGGUGGCGAUGCUCCUUGCCCUCCGGUGGCCCCUCCUUCACCAGCUUUUCGGCGUCCAUCUUCGCGAGUGCACUUUUGCACGGGCAAAGGCCCUGCGCGCACCUUCAAUGCAGACGGACCACUUUAUGACUUCAAACCGUGGGUAGGCAUUCACAAGCCGCUUUACCAGGCCGAAGUAGCUGCCAGGCAGGGGCUCGCCAGGCCACAUCCGGACUAUGAGACCCUUCAUGGCCAGUUCGGCCGCCUUGUGAAGCUCGACCAGUUGCUUCAACUGGUCGCUCAAAGGAAUUGGAUGUUCGGUCCCAGUAUAUUGAGACCAGAACAACUUCUCCGUCGAGCUCCCUUCCUCGGCCCGGUAGAACUCCGCGGCAUCCGAUACACUGCUGGGUAGAUAUGCGAACGCUCCUGGAGAGCUCCGAAUUCGGGUAAGUAAAAGGAAAGUUUCCUUCACAUGCUUGCUUUGCAUAAUGAAUGCCUUACCCGCCGCUAUCUUCUUGACCGCCUGAAUCUCCUGGAGGGCCUUUUGGGCUUCGGCCUUGGCAUUUUGUGCGUUCUCGAGGGCCUUCGCAAGCUCGAACCCCUGCGUCUUAGAGUCACGCUCCAAGGACUCGUAUUUCUUGACAAAAUCUCGGAGCUCUUGCUGAACCUCGCUGACUCGGGCCUCUUGCUUCUCGCGCUCGGUGCGCCUUCUUUAGGGCCGCCACUUCGGUCGUGGCCCCUAGCAAAAUUCAUGACGAUCCUAUGAUCUAACAACCACCUUCUUUUUUCUUUAUCAAUAUACAGACGGGGUAUCACUUACCUUUGUUCUCUUCGAGCUGCCUCUUGGUAAGGUCGAGCUCUUCCUCGGACCACUCAAGGUCCCGCUUCAGUGCGGAGACCUCCGCCGUACGAGCGGCAGCGGCUAGCAGCGAAGCCUGCUUAUUCGCAUAGACAUAUUCUGAUUAGACUCCUGUGAUUGUUAUUUGAUCCUCUGUUCGGCCUUUCUUUGCGAACACCAAACAGAGCAUCAGGGGCUACUGUCUAUGCUAUAACAUUUUCUCAUAAUUUGAUCACUUACCUCAAAGCCUGUUAGGAGGCUGGCACAGGCUUUAGUCAGUCCGCUUUUGGCGGACCGAACCUUCUCGACCACCGCACUCAUGAUAGUGCGGUGCUCUUCGUCAAUGGAAGCGCCGCGAAGCGCUUCCAGCAAGUUGUUCGAUGCCUCUGGAUGGACAAAGGCCAUCGGCACAGACGACUCGCCCCCCUUAGCGAGGGGUCGCCUGACAGAGUCCGGAACCACUGGAGGUUCCAGCGCAGUAUUCGGUUGGGGGCCCAACUGGCUGCCCCCGUCAUUAGAGCCCAUGGGAGUCUUGCUCCCCAUGCGCCCAGCAUCUGGGAUGUCGCCUUGGGGCGCCUCCAGAACUAUCUCCCCUUGGUUCAGUGCCCUUUGAGACAACACAUCGACGUCGUCCGUAGGGCGGGGGGAGGUGGUGGUCGGGAGUGAAUCGUUGUUCAUCGCCGACUGGCCCAAAGACUCAUCCGAAGAGGAUACGUCGAUAUGGGCUUUGGAUGGACUGCAUGAUCAUGUUUGGCAUGAUAAGAAGCAAUAAAACAAAACAUACCAGAACUAUUAUGGUAUCCGGAUAGUUACGACUUCGCCAGGGGCUUGUCCCUAGGCAACCACUCCUCAUCGCUAUAAGCGACUGUUGUGGAGUAGUCCGGAAGGAGAGUCCUUCCCUUCUUGGACCCUUCGGCCUCCCCAGAUGGGGCGGCCUUCCUUUUCUUAUCUCCCCUGGCUGGGGGGGAGAACUUUCCUCUUCUUCCUCCUCAUUUUCGUGGGAGGAGGGCGCCUCGGUGUUAUCGGACGAUGAGUCCGUUACAACCUUGCGCCGGAGACCUUUCCUGGUCCCCGCGGCCUUCUUCUUGGCCUUCUUCUCCGGCGCCUUAUAAGGCGCCGGAACCAGCAUCUCCAUUAAGAGAGCCCUUGCUGGAUCUUCGGGCAGUGGGGCCGGGCAAUCGAUCCGCUCCGCUGUCGCUACCCAGUCCUGUUAGAAUGGCGUGGAGGCUCAGAUCCCUCACAUAAUUAUACUGGGGAAAGGAACAUAUUAUGAGAUAUAAAGAGCUUACUGGGUUGGCAGGGCGCUUUGCGCUGAGUCCGCAAUCCUCGGUAAGGGAAGGAGGUACCUCGGCGGCCUUGAACAGCACCUUCCAGACGUCUUGGUGCGUCGUGUUGAAAAGCUCUCGCAGCGUCUGGUGCUUGGCCGGGUCGAACUCCCACAUAUUGAAUGCCCGUCUUUGACACGGGAGGAUCCGACGGAAGAGCAUGACCUGGACCACGUUACGAGCUUGAUUUUCUUGCUUAUCAUGUUUUUAACAUAGUUCUGGAGUCCGGUCAGCUCCACCGAUGAGCCCCAGGAUAGGCCCUUCUCUUUCCAGGAGGUGAGCCGCAUGGGGAUGCCGGAUCGAAAUUCGGGGGCCACCACCCAGUUGGUGUCGCGCGGCUCGGUGAUGUAGAACUACCCCGAUUGCCACCCCUUCACGGUCUCCACAUAGGAGCCUUCGAGCCAGGUGACGUUGGGCAUUUUGCCCACCAUGGCGCCUCCGCACUCCGCUUGCUGGCCGACCACCACCUUCGGUUUUACGUUGAAGGUCUUCGGCCACAGGCCGAAGUGGGGCUUGAUGCGGAGGAAGGCCUCGCAUGCGACGAUAAACGCUGAGAUGUUGAGGAUGAAAUUAGGGGCCAGAUCAUGGAAGUCCAGCCCGUAGUAGAACAUGAGCCCGCGGACAAACGGGUGGAGGGGAAAUCCCAGCCCGCGAACGAAGUGGGUAAGGAAUACAACCCUCUCGUGGGGUUCUGGAGUAGGGACGAUCUGCCCCGCGUCUGGGAGCCGGUGCGCGAUGUCUGCGGCCAGGUAUCCGGCUUCCCGGAGCUUCGUAAUGUUCUCCUCCGUAACGGAGGAGACCAUCCACUUGCCUCCCGCUCCGGACAUGUUUGGAAUGGUUUUGCAGAGAAAAUGAGAACAUGGGCGCUGGAGCUCGAGUGCGCGAGAGUGGAUGGGCAGGGAAGAAGGCGUGGGUGAAAAAGAGGAGUUCUUGUCCCUUUAUAAGGGCAGUAGAAACUGUGCGCCUCCCCACUUGCCUGGUAAACUCGCUUAUUCCCCAAGCGCCGUGAUUGAUGGCGCGGUUGGGUUACCCACACCCGUAUUGAUGAGAAUCCCGUGAUAAGGGGACACGAUCUCUGCUUUGACAAGACGUGCCAAGAAAACUGCCUCACAAUAUGUGUAGUAGCUGGUUCAGAAAAACGGUUCGAAUACUGACCGGGCCAUGGCGUGAUGUAAUGCUAUGAAAUUUGUCGGCAGAUUAGAUUUGUGGGAUAUUGUACUCUCUACGGUGGUAUGUGGAAUUUGUUUUGCAGAGCCAGACACGAUCCUUGUGUUCAAAAUCUUCUAUGGAGUAUUCGGAGGAGGAACCCGCCUUGCAAUGCCGAAGACAAUCUGCACGCCGAACUCAUCGUCAUUGAAGCCUGGUUCAGGGGCUACUGAGGGAGUCCUGGAUUAGGGGGUCCUCGGAUAGCCGGACUAUAUACCUUGGCCGGACUGUUGGACUAUGAAGAUAUGAUACGUCUCCGUCGAAUCUACUUUUCCAAACACUUUUGCCCUUGUUUUGAACUCUAACUUGCAUGAUUUGAAUGGAACUAACACGGACUGACGCUGUUUUCAGCAGACUUUCCAUCGUGUUAUUUAUGUGCAUAAACAAAAGUUCUCGGAAUGACCUGAAACUCCACGGAACAUCUAUUUGGAAAAUAAGAAAAAUACCGGAAGAAAAAUCCACGUCAGGGGGCCCACACCCUGUCCACGAGGGUGGAGGGCGCGCCUGCCCCCCUAGGGCACGCCCCUACCUCAUGGGCCCCCUAACGCUCCACCGACCUCAACUCCAACUCCAUAUAUUCACUUUCGGGGAGAAAAAAUCAGAGAGAAGGAUUCAUCGCGUUUUACGAUACGGAGCCGUCGCCAAGCCCUAAAACCUCUCGGGAUGGCUGAUCUGGAGUCCGUUUGGGGCUCCGAAGAGGGGGAUUCGUCGCCAUCGUCAUCAUCAACCAUCCUCCAUCACCAAUUUCAUGAUGCUCACCGUCGUGCGUGAGUAAUUCCAUCGUAGGCUUGCUGGACGGUGAUGGGUUGGAUGAGAUCUAUCAUGUAAUCGAGUUAGUUUUGUUAGGGUUUGAUCCCUAGUAUCAACUAUGUUCUGAGAUUGAUGUUGCUAUGACUUUGCUAUGCUUAAUGCUUGUCACUAGGGCCCGAGUGCCAUGAUUUCAGAUCUGAACCUAUUAUGUUUUCAUGAAUAUAUGUGAGUUCUUGAUCCUAUCUUGCAAGUCUAUAGUCACCCACUACGUGUUAUGAUCCGGCAACCCCGAAGUGACAAUAAUCGGGACCACUCCCGGUGAUGACCAUAGUUUGAGGAGUUCAUGUAUUCACUAUGUGCUAAUGCUUUGUUCCGGUACUCUAUUAAAAGGAGGCCUUAAUAUCCCUUAGUUUCCAUUAGGACCCCGCUGCCACGGGAGGGUAGGACAAAAGAUGUCAUGCAAGUUCUUUUCCAUAAGCACGUAUGACUAUAUUCGGAAUACAUGCCUACAUUACAUUGAUGAAUUGGAGCUAGUUCUGUGUCACCCUAUGUUAUGAUUGUUACAUGAUGAAUCGCAUCCGGCAUAAUUCUCCAUCACCGAUCCAAUGCCUACGAGCUUUUCACAUAUUGUUAUUCGCUUAUUUACUUUAUCGUUGCUACUGUUACAAUCACUACAAAACACCAAAAAUAUUACUUUUGCUACCGUUACUUUUGUUACCGUUACCACUACUAUCAUAUUACUUUGCUACUAAAUACUUUGCUGCAGAUACUAAGUUAUCCAGGUGCGGUUGAAUUGACAACUCAACUGCUAAUACUUGAGAAUAUUCUUUGGCUCCCCUUGUGUCGAAUCAAUAAAUUUGGGUUGAAUACUCUACCCUCGAAAACUGUUGCGAUCCCCUAUACUUGUGGGUUAUCAAGACUAUUUUCUGGCGCCGUUGCCGGGGAGCAUAGCUCUAUUCUUUGAGUCACUUGGGAUUUAUAUCUGCUGGUCACUAUGAAGAACUUGAAAGACGCUAAGACAACAAUUUAUCCCUCAACUACGAGCGGAGGUAAGGAACUGCCAUCUAGCUCUGCACUUGAUUCACCUUCUGUUUUGAGUAAGCUUGCGACACCUAAACCUGCUUCUGCUGUUCGUUCUGAUAUGUCGCACGUUAUUGAUGAUGCCACUUCUGCUAUGCAUGAUACUUAUGAUGAGACUACUUCUAUGCUUGAUACUUGUCGUGGUGGGUGCACGACAGAUGCCAAGGGAUGGCUAAAGAGAGGAGGAGGCUUGAGGGCGCUGGUGGACUCCAGAGGCGAGGUUGGCAUGAGCGGGCGCGGGGCGCCGGACAUACCCAGGUUCGGGGCUCUCCGGAGAGAUAAUACCCCUAGUCCUGCCGAGUGUAGUUGGAUGAUCGAUAGUACAAUGUUGUCAGUGUCCGUAUUGUCGGUGUCCUGGGACCCGGGCUGGGUCCCGCUGAGGGCUUGUGGUUCGCCGGGUUCCCCUAGGUGCGGGCCCUACAUGCCUAGGGGGACUGUGCGCCGUCUUGUCGAUCGUCAGGGCGUGGCCGAGUCGAGUCACGUACAGUGCUCUCCGUCAGGUCGCCGCUUGCUGUCGUCAGCGGUGAGGGCGGGGGCACUGUAGCCACACCGGCCCUGGUCAGCGGGUAGGUGAGGGGCACUGUUGCCAUGUUCCUGCUGACCAGAGGCAUGGGCGGGGCACUGUUGCCUCGGUCAUCGUUGAUUGAAGUCUCGUCCCCAUCAUACGGCCUGGAUGGGACGGGAGUUGUCCCGCGGCUGGAUUGCGUAGCACGCCAUGGGUGGCGCUGGCUUGUUGAGGAGGCUUUGGCCGUGCCGGGUUCGGCUGUCUUGCGCUAGUUGUUGAGGCCGAGUCGACGUGUCUUGCCGGGUCGGCUAGUCUGGCCGGCUUGCGGGGCUUGGCUGGGUGGAGCGACCCGGCCAAGCACGCGCUGGUAUUGAGGGGCGGUGCCAGCCCCGUUAUUUUUGAAGAGGAUCCGGGUUCCGUUGCCUGCUCGGGGUCCAUCCCCCCGACAGUAGUCCCCGAAGCUGUGAAGGUCCGCCGUCUUCGGAUGAGUGGGCCUUCACAGUUUCCCCCUUAAGCAAGGUGGAUUCUGCGAGUGCCGGGUCCGGCAACACCCACCGUGUGCCGGUUUUCUCGGAAACUGGAUCGUGGCAUCCCGGCCGUGGCGGGGACCGAGAGGUCCGCCGAAUCUUGGGGCAAUCCCUCGGGCUCUGCGCGGGCGCCACGUGGUGCCCGGAAGUCGGAGGGGCCUGACAGGCCACGCGCGUGAUGGGACCGGGCGACGGGCUGGGGCCCACCGCUGCGCGCCCUCGGCCCAAGCGCGUGGAUUUAUUGCGGCGUCCGGGGGCCGGUUGCUCUUCCCCGGGCAGUUACUGCGCGUGUACGUGCGCACUUAUUGCGGGGUAGUGGAACGGGCGCAUGCAGACGAUCCCACUUCCCCACUUCCCCAUGUUCAAACCAAGGGUUAUAAAUCGGGGGGCAGGGGGGCGGCGGACAUUAUUCUCGCUCACGCCCUCGUGUCCCUUUGCUCUCGCUCCGCUCUUUGCAACUGACGCACUGCGGCGCCCGCUGCUCCGAGCAGAACUCCUUCGCCGUCCAUCUUCCUUCGAUCAUGUCGCUGCCAUCGGGCUCAUGGAUGGGUUCGAAUGUCACCUCCGAGGACAUCACCCAACUCCGGGCGACGCGGCGCCUGCCGCGGGAGACAGACGUCAGCGUCCGCCUGCCGCGCGGCGAGCAGAGGCCUCGGCCCGAGGGGCAGGAGCGCGUGGUCUUCCUCACGCACUUCGAGCGCGGGUUCGGGCUGCCGGCGAGCACCUUCUUCUGCGCGUUCCUGGAGUUCUUCGGGCUCCAGCCGCAUCAUCUUGGCGCCGGCGCCAUCGUCCAGCUCUCCGGCUUCGUCACCCUCUGCGAGGGGUACCUGGGGGUCGAGCCUACGAUCGACCUCUGGGCACGCUUCUUCUCCUUGAAGCAGCAGGGCCCGUCGGCCGGGGAGUUCGCCGAUUGCGGCGCCACCGUCAUCUCGAAGCGGUCGUGGUCGGAUUUCCCCAAGAUCCCGCUGGAGGAUUCUGCCAAGAAGUGGCAGAACUCAUUCUUCUACGUCCGCAACCUUGGUGCGGAUCGCAUCAACCUUCCGGCCUUCGCCAUCGCACCACCGCGGGCGAAGAUGGACUGGGGCUACUCACCCAGGCGCCCGUCGCAGGAGAUCAUCAAUCUCUACGAGCGGGUGACGGUGAUGAGGACGUAGGAGGGGCUCACCGGCAUCGACCUCCUCGCUGCGUUCAUCAUGCGUCGGGUCCUUCCGCUUCAGGGGCGCUCCUGCCUCAUCGGCGAAAUGAUCGGCCUUCAAGACCCCAACCGCAUGGGGUUGACGCGGCUGUCCGCGGAGCAGGUCGCGCGCGGCGUGAAUGACAUCUCCAAGGCCAACCUUGGGGAGGACUGGCGGUUCGGCAAGGCGCCGUACAGCCAGGCGAACCCGGUGCCGCACGUGAGCGUCUGGUCUUCUUACUUUGCUGCCGCGCACCUUCUCAUCCGUCCUGAUGCGACGCUGGGGGUACUUCUAAACGCGAAUCGGCAUCCUUACGCCCGGGCCCCGUCGCAGGUGGAGCCGGUGGUGCCAGAGGAGCCCGCGGCUCAUGGCGGGGAGGAGGUGGCCGAGUCCGACGCCGGCGUUGGGCGUCGCGCGGGUAAGUCUCGUGUUUUUCUUCAUGUGUCUUGAAUUGCUGACCGCGGCAUGGAACAGUCGGUGCUUACGCCAGUUGUCGGUGUAGUGGCGUUGGGCGGGGAGGUGGCGACGCGGGCGGAGCCGGGUCCUCGCACGGGGCGGCGCCGAGCCGCCCGCAUGGGAAAGACAGCGUCGCGCCGCGACCCCGGGCCCCGAAGCGCACGGCGGACCCGGUCGGGGCCGGGAGGCCGGCCAAGAGGAAGCGCGGCGGUGGGUCCGGGAGGCCAACCCCGGUCCCGGUCUUGGCGGGGUAAGCUUCGUCUCUCGUUUGCGCUCAGAUUUUUUUCUUGAGCUAGUCUUGUUUCUUUUCUGCUCAUUCUGUCUUCUUCUCCAGGUCACCAAUCGCGCUGGCGAGGGCGGCGGCGGAAGCCGCGACCGCCGAAGGGGCCGCGUUCCGUAGGAGCCGGUCCGGCCUCGCUGACCAGGACGAGGUGGAGGGACGGGCCGACUCGGACCUCGGCCUGAAUCCGAACGACGCCGAAGCCUUGGCCUGGCGGGACAGGAACCGGGCCGAGGCGGAGCUGGAGGCAGCGUCGGUCCGUGCUUGGACCGACGCGGCGGCGGCAUGGGCGCAAGCCGGCGCGGAGCCGGCCUGGCGCGAGAUGCCGGAGGGCACGGUGGUGGUGCCGAUGGUCUUUGAGCCAUCGUCGGUGAGGGAGCGCGGCCGUGGAGGCCGGGCUGAGGUGGUGAUCCCCGACCGGGAGGUCGUGGAGGUGGAGGAUGACACCCCGCCGCGGGCCGACGUGGUCGAGCGAGCGGGGACUGAUGGUGGUGGAGGCGGCGUUGUUUUGGAAGAGAUGCUGCGGGCGGCGGCGUCGGAGGCGCCGCCGGUUUUGGAGGAGGCACCGCGGGCGGCGGUGCCGGAGGCCACCCCGGCAGCUGGGCCAGAGACGGCGACGCAGGGCGUCCCGGCGUCCGGGUUAGAGACGGUGACGCAGGGCGUGCGGGCGCCCUGGUCGUCGUCGGCGCUGGGAGGGGCGUCGGAGGAGGUGCUGGCCGCGUCGCGAGCGGCCAGCGGGGAGUACUCCUUGGUGCCCCGGCAGGGAGGGCGCCGAGCUGCCGUGCCGCAGCCGGCGCGGAGCGGGGGCGCCGUUGUCUUCGGGCCUCAGACCCAGGAGGAGGCGGCGCUAGAUGCCGUCAGUCGCCGCCUGCGAGGCCGGACGGAACGGAUCGAGGCCUUCGCCCAGGCCGAGGUGGAGCGGACGCGCGACCUGGAGUGCGCCAUUCUGGUAAGUCUUCUUGUAAUUUCUUCUUUGUGGGGGCGCGCCAGCGCACCCACUGGGUGUAGCCCCCGAGGUUUGGGCCAACUACGUAGUAGUUGGGUCGAAUCUUUAGAGUGUUGGCCUUGUUCUGAUUUCUGCUUUCUUCAGCAUCUCGACGCCUUCCGGGUCGCCACCUACAAUCGUCUCCUGGGCAAGCACCGGGAGCUCAUGGAGCAGCUUGCCACCAAGGAGGAGGAGCUCCGCGUUGGCACAGGUAUUCUUGUGCUCUUUUCUAGUGGGGUGCGCUAGCGCACCCACUGGGUGUAGCCCCCGAGAUUCGGGCCAACUGUGUAACAGUUGGGCCAAAUCUUAAGACUUGCUUUUUUCUUCUGCUGGGUCCUUCUUUUUCACAGCCGAGGUGCUGUCCUGGCGGACUCGUCUGCUCCGGGCCGGUCAUCGCUACGACCGGCUCGUUGCCGACACCGGCCGUCUUGGCGUCGAGGUGCCGCAGGCGAGGGCGGAGGCGGCCGCGGCUCGGCGGUCUCUCGACGAGGCCAACCGGCUGCAUGAGCAGCUGGCGGGUCAAAAGAGCCGCCUCGAGGCCGAGGUGGAGCUCCUUAAGGCGGAAGCCGCCAAGGUGGCAGAGGCGCAGCAGGCCCUGGUGGAGGCGGACCAGCAGCGCGGCCAGCUGGCCGACGACAAGGGCCGGCUCCAGGCCGAGGUGGACCGCCUGCGGGGGCAGGUCACCACGGUUGAGGGGGCCUGUCAGGACGAGGCCCGUUGCCGCGAGGCGGCCGAGAAGGCGGCCGAAGACAAGGACCCCGAGCUGAAGGCGACCCUUGCCAAGGCGGCCGAUCUGGAGAAGGCGCUCGA